AACCUCCGCAAUGUACGAAAGUGCGACGGGGGGAUCCCAAGUGUUAUGCUUUUUUGUAUAACUUUUCAUUAGUGUAAAAAGCUUUUAGAAUAAGAGCUGGGCAAGACCGGUGCCAGCCGCCGCGGUAACACCGGCAGCUCGAGUGGUAGCUGUUUUUAUUGGGCCUAAAGCGUUCGUAGCCGGUUUGAUAAGUCUUUGGUGAAAGCUUGUAGCUUAACUAUAAGGAUUGCUGGAGAUACUAUCAGACUUGAAGUCGGGAGAGGUUAGAGGUACUACCGGGGUAGGGGUGAAAUCCUAUAAUCCUGGGAGGACCACCUGUGGCGAAGGCGUCUAACUGGAACGAUCUUGACGGUGAGUAACGAAAGCCAGGGGCGCGAACCGGAUUAGAUACCCGGGUAGUCCUGGCCGUAAACGAUGUGACUUGGUGUUGGAAUGGCUUUGAGUUGUUCCGGUGCCGAAGGGAAGCUGUUAAGUCCACCGCCUGGGAAGUACGGUCGCAAGACUGAAACUUAAAGGAAGU
rnacentral:rRNA from 1 species